AAAGCUUCCUGUCAAACAGAGAAGUGUGGAGCUGACAGCAUGUUACUUUGAGCACGGAUGAAUCUAUCAUUAGCUAAGUGUCUGUGCACCGCGGAGGCUCCUGCUGCUGUCAGUUCACAGAUGAGGACCGCCAUCAAAGUGUGCGUCUCCUCUUUGAGGGAGCUACACCCUUCAGAAGUAAGGAGGCCCGUGUUUGCUCCAGGGAUUACAUUACCACACCAGAGGCCUGCCAGACAGACGUCACCACCCAAGGUGCACACGUGGGUUUUGGACAAGCUUCCAGAGGUUAGCUGAAGAAAGCCCGGCAGAUUUCGGGGAGUCACACCGGGUCGGAUCCGGAAGCCCCCUUACAUCCACCGCCACCGCUUCAAGGGAAGGCAUUCAUAUCUGACCUAAUUAAGAACUGUGAAGAGGCUUGCUCUGAUGGAUCGAGGAUUCUCAAGAGGCCAAGUCAAGUCCCAUGACAUCACACCCACGGACAAUACACCUGAAGAAGCUCUUCAGAGGGCCAGAGGCUGGACUGGGGAGAGGGAGGCGCAGCAGCUUAUGAAGAUGUGGCUGAGGUAGACAUAGUGUCCACAACAAAGAAGACAGAAUCAAGUGAAAAAGAUCUGCUUUGUGGUUUGGAAGAAAUUGAAAAUGUAAUUU